rnacentral:lncRNA from 1 species
CGAAGACACAUUUUGUUUCUGGACAAUAACUUUUGUUUAAGUGAAUGGAUCUCUAUAAUUUUUUACCAGAAGGUUCAAUACCACUAAAGGAAUGUUGGGAUUGAUUUUGGGGGUUCUGGUCCCAAUAAUAGUGUAGGAAUUAGUGGGCCAAAAAGGGGGCCCAAAAUAAGCUUUUUUGUAGUUUUCAAACAAUAACUUGUGUUUAAGUGUAUGAAUCUCUUUGAAAUUAUACCACAAGUUUCCAUAUCAUGAAGGGAUGGUUAGUAUUGACUUUGGGGGUUAUCGCUCAACAUUGUUUAGAAUUAGGGGAAAAAGGGGAAAAA